CAGUCGCCGCGGUAAUACGUAGGGUGCGAGCGUUAAUCGGAAUUACUGGGCGUAAAGCGUGCGCAGGCGGUUCGUUAAGACAGAUGUGAAAUCCCCGGGCUUAACCUGGGAACUGCAUUUGUGACUGGCGAGCUAGAGUAUGGCAGAGGGGGGUAGAAUUCCACGUGUAGCAGUGAAAUGCGUAGAGAUGAGGAGGAAUACCGAUGGCGAAGGCAGCCCCCUGGGCCAAUACUGACGCUCAUGCACGAAAGCGUGGGGAGCAAACAGGAUUAGAUACCCCCGUAGUCCCUGUCUCUUAUAC
rnacentral:rRNA from 1 species